GCGUGUGACGAGCCCGGCGUGAAUGGCGCGUUUGAACGUGGCGGGCGCGGUGACGUCACGAGGCGCGUGCGUCCCACUUGUUUACAACCUCCCCACGUGACCUUGUCUACUAAGAUGGAGGCUGGCUCGUGAACUACAUGGCGCAGUUCCUCGAUUUUUUACUGAAAUGGCCGGAUUUGAUGAUAACUACCGGUUGCCUUGUGUGCGACGGGACAUGCGAACAUGCAGUGCAGUGAUGUGUGCAAGAAAAGAGCGGUGAUGUCGUCGGUAGUUGAGGUUGCAAGAAUCACCAUGGCAGCAGAUAUUCGUGAUACUUUUUGUCAAUUCCCGCCUUAAUGAGGAUUAUCAGUCCCUCGCCAUUAUGUUACAUAUGUGGCAUUUAUAGAAAAACGCAAGAAAUCCAGCAUGUGACUAAGGGCAUUGCCUACCUUUUUUUUGAUAACAGAAGAGUAAAUAAAAACAAAAUGCAUCCUUAAUAGUUGAAUAACAGUGUGAAGAUGACAGGACAUCAAACCCUAGCAGCUAACAACUCUAGAGAAACUGACGUGCAGCUGGAACGAGCAGCUAGUGUUACCCAGCACGUCCUGAUGCCGUGUGAAGAGAACCUUUUGCAUCCCUAACGGAACUAAGUUGGGGUGGAGGCAGUUGAUAACCCGAUGUGGAAUAAAGUGCUACACAUAAGUUACCAAGUCGUCUAAGAGAUAAUAUUCUAUGACCGAUGCAGCUAAAGCAGUCUGAAUGGCAGCUAGAAUGUAGCUCAUCGCAACAGUGGCAUACUUGUUGUUGUUAUUGUUAUCUGUGGAAAAAAUGUCUAGUUUAAUAUUUUGGUAAGAUAAAAUAGUAUUGAGAAGAAAAAUAAAAAAAAUCAGGUGAAGAAAGUACUGGUGAUUAGAAGCCACCAACUAACGUAAAUACAUCAAGGUUCUUCAGGUAGAAAAGUCUGUACGAGAUUU